UCAGCGCCAGGGCGCAGAGGUGCCCUCCCAGUGCCUUUGUUACUUGUGACAGCCACCGGCCUUCCUGUAAGGAAAGAAUACAAGCAAGAAAAAAAACUAAUUAAAUGUAUAUGUAGAGGAAUUACAAUCUGACCUACUAUAUAAUCAAAGGGCUUCCCUGGUGCUGCAGUAGUCAAGAAUCCGCCUGCCAAUGCACGGGACACGGGUUCGAGCCCUGGUCUGGGAAGAUCCCAC